rnacentral:rRNA from 1 species
AUUGAACGCUGGCGGCAGGCCUAACACAUGCAAGUCGAGCGAGCGGCGGACGGGUGAGUAAUGUAUGGGGACUGCCCGAUAGAGGGGGAUAACUACUGGAAACGGUGGCUAAUACCGCAUACUAUCGGAUAACCCAUAUGGGAUUAGCUAGGAGGUGGGGUAAAGGCUCACCUAGGCGACGAGCUCUAGCUGGUCUGAGAGGGUGAUCAGCCACACUGGGACUGAGACACGGACCAGACUGCUGCGGAGGCAGCAGUGGGGAAGAGUGAACAAUGGGCGAAAGCCGGAUGCAGACAUGCCGCGUGAAUGAAGAAGGCCUUAGGGUUGUAAAGUACUGUCAUCGGGGAGGCGUUACCCUAAGAAGAAGCAACGGCUAACUCCGUGCCAGCCGCCGCGGUAAUUC